rnacentral:rRNA from 1 species
ACGCUGGCGGCGUGCCUAAUACAUGCAAGUCGAACGGUCUUUCUAUGGAAGCUUGCUUCCACUGAGAAGAUAGUGGCGGACGGGUGAGUAACACGUGGGUAACCUGCCCAUAAGAGGGGGAUAACAUCCGGAAACGGGUGCUAAUACCGCAUAGUUUUCUUGAUCGCAUGAUCGAGAAAGGAAAGACGGCCUUUGUGCUGUCGCUUAUGGAUGGACCCGCGGCGUAUUAGUUAGUUGGUGAGGUAACGGCUCACCAAGACGAUGAUACGUAGCCGACCUGAGAGGGUGAUCGGCCACAUUGGGACUGAGACACGGCCCAAACUCCUACGGGAGGCAGCAGUAGGGAAUCUUCCGCAAUGGACGAAAGUCUGACGGAGCAACGCCGCGUGAGUGAAAGAAGGUUUCCGGAUCGUAAAACUCUGUUGUCAGAGAAGAACAAGUCGGAGAGUAACUGCUCCGGCCUUGACGGUAUCUGACCAGAAAGCCACGGCUAACUACGUGCCAGCCGCCGC